rnacentral:lncRNA from 1 species
CUAGAUUUGGUCCCCAGCACAAGAACAAAGCAACCAUCCAAAUAAUGGGUUGGAAUCUCUCUCUUGGGAGCAAGGAGGCUGCCUCUAGAUAAAGCCCAAUAAACCGCCACAAAGUUACAGGACUGAAAAUGUCUCCCAUACCUAAUCAUCACUGUUGUACUCAAGAGCCUUUUGUCCAUGGAGCCAGCCAUCUGAACACACCCACACUCUCAUACCCACCAGUCCUUGGAACUAGCUCCAUACAACCACAUCCCCUCUGAGGGAGUUGACAGCAGUUCUGAAUAUCCCCUGUUGUACAUUUUAUUGUUGCCUUCCUUUUAUGGAAGUCACAGAGAUGAGCAGCUGUACUAGAAGACAUCAGGAUAUGGACGAAGGCCAUGGGAUUGUGGGCAUGGGCUCUUUCUCCUGCUCUGGAGAUCCCUGGCCAUCCUCUGAGCCUUGGCUAUCUGCUUUUUAAAGCCUCUGCCACCAGUAAGCCCUUCUUAAAGCCCAUUCAUAGUGGGUUCCAGUGCAGGGAUUCUGUGGGGAGUUUGCCUUGCAGAGAUGGUGUUUAUAAUUAGCACUUAGAGAAAUCCAUUUGGGAACUCAACGAACAGAUCUGCACAGACAUCAGUUGUGCUGCUCACUGCUGACCUGGAUUUUUACACGGAAUUCAGAAUCUCAUAUCUCAGGCUGGACUCAAGCUUGCUAUCUAGCAGAAGAUGACUUUAAACUUUUGGUCUUCUCGGGGUGGCGGUGGAGCACACCUUUAAUCCCAGCACUCGGGAGGCAGAGGCAGGAGAAUCUGUAAGUUCAAGACCAGCCUGGUCUACAAAACUGGUUCCAGGUCAGCUAGGGCUAUGCAGAGAAACGCUGUCUUAAAAAACAAAAACAAAACAAAACAAAACAAAAAACCAAGUGAGCUUCUGAUCCUCUUGACUCUCCCUGCAGGGAGCAGGGAAUACAUGCAGGGACCGGGACCCCCCCCCCCGCCCCCAUCUAGUUUAUGUGGUUCUGGGGACCCAACCCAGGUCUUCAUGAA